GAUGAACGCUGGCGGCGUGCCUAAUACAUGCAAGUCGAGCGAACAGACGAGGAGCUUGCUCCUCUGACGUUAGCGGCGGACGGGUGAGUAACACGUGGAUAACCUACCUAUAAGACUGGGAUAACUUCGGGAAACCGGAGCUAAUACCGGAUAAUAUAUUGAACCGCAUGGUUCAAUAGUGAAAGACGGUUUUGCUGUCACUUAUAGAUGGAUCCGCGCCGCAUUAGCUAGUUGGUAAGGUAACGGCUUACCAAGGCAACGAUGCGUAGCCGACCUGAGAGGGUGAUCGGCCACCCUGGAACUGAGCCGCGGGCCAGACUCCUACGGGAGGCAGCAGUAGGGAAUCUUCCGCAAUGGGCGAAAGCUUGACGGAGCAACGCCGCGUGAGUGAUGAAGGUCUUCGGAUCGUAAAACUCUGUUAUUAGGGAAGAACAAAUGUGUAAGUAACUAUGCACGUCUUGACGGUACCUAAUCAGAAAGCCACGGCUAACUACGUG
rnacentral:rRNA from 1 species